GACUCUCGAAUCUGCUUAGAAAGUCAUUUAGAGCGUAUGUGAUACCUGCUACCAAAUAUCUUACGCACUCAGUUUCUGCUUGGUGUUUCCAUGCCUUUUGAAUCGAUCAAGAAAAUGUCACUGCUCAGAGGUUGAAGCUAAACACACAGAAGAACCAUGUUUGCUAGAAGAUUUUUGGCUGCCUCAUCAGUUAUGCAGAGGCAGUUUGUGAGGAGUAUAAGCAAGUCAGUGCGGCUUCAUCAGCUGGACCUUAAAGGCAUUUAUCCACCAAUUUGCACACCCUUCACAGAUGAUGGCAAAUUUGACAUUAACUAUGAAAAACUUGCAGAAAACAUGAAGGUCUAUCAGCAAUCACCACUUAGAGGAUACCUGGUGCAGGGCAGUAACGGCGAAUACAUCUACCUGACCCCCUCUGAGCGUGUGGAGCUGGUACGCCGGGUCCGCCCCCUGGUCACGGACGGUCGACUGCUCCUGGCCGGCUCGGGAUGCGAGUCGACUGCGGAAACCGUGGAGCUGUCGCAGCAGAUGGCAGAGGCCGGCGCUGAUGCGCUUGUCGUUGUUACGCCCUGCUACUACAAGGCGUCGAUGAACGACGCGGCGAUGGUUGCCCACUACACUGCAGUGGCCGAUGCCAGCCCCGUGCCUGUGAUUCUAUACAGCGUGCCCGCCAACACGGGUAUAAAUCUGAGCGUGGAGGCGGUCACUCAACUGGCGCCGCACCCCAACAUCAUCGGCAUAAAGGAUAGCCUAGGAGAUAUCAGCAAGCUGGCUCAGCUAGUGGAGACCACCAAAGACGAACAGUUCCAGGUGCUAGCCGGCUCGGCUGGGUUCCUGCUGCCGGCUCUGCUAGUCGGUCAUGACUCCACGUGUGUUGGUGGUGGGCGGCGGACUGACGUCCGCAGUGACGUCAUCCCUGCUCCGAGAGGAGCUGGGCAGCAGAUGUCAACUGACGGUGUGGGAUAAGGCACGGGGCGCAGGCGGUCGUAUGUCGACCUCCCGCGGCCCAGAGGGCUGUGGCACCGUGGACCUUGGAGCACAGUACAUCACUGUGACACCACAGUUCCAGCAGCUUCACAACAAAUUCUACUCCGAGCUACAGUUAGCAGGCCUGUUGGCGCCUCUGACAACCACCGUACAGGGUCUCCGCCCGGCGCCGGCCGGUAGCCAACACCUGGUCACUCCCCGUGGUACCAGCGCCCUAGUGAAACACUUCUUCAGCAGGGCCGAGGUCACACCAGAGUUUAAUCAACGGGUGACUGAGGUGUCAACAGAUGGCGCGCAGUGCGUCGUUACCACGGAAACCGGCCGGACUGAGUCGUUUGACGCCAUUCUUCUCACAAUGCCGCCGCCGCAAAUUCUCGAGCUUGGAGGAACGCUGAAGAAGGAUAUCGAGUCAAACCCCGCACUAUCUUCUGGCCUCCGCUCGGUUCGGUUCAGCUCCCGGUAUGCCCUGGGUCUGUUCUUUGGCGCCGGGGGAGGCCCGAAGGUGGACUGGGGUGCCAAGUAUGUAUCGGACCACCCCGUGGUGCGGUAUGUGGCAGUGGAUAACGUCAAACGCGGACAAGCCUCCGGUCCCAGUUCGGUGGUGGUCCACACCAGCGUCCAGUUCGGGGAGGAGCACGUCGAGAAGACGCCCGCCGAGGUGCAGCCAAUCCUGGAGCGCCACGUCACAGAGCUGUUCCCUGAUUGGCCGGCGCCCACCUCGGUCAAAUGCCAGAAGUGGCGCUAUUCGCAGGUGACGGAGCCGUUCCCGGGCCGUCCCGGCCACGUGGUGCUCAGUGAGCAGCCCCUGGUAGUGGCCGCCGGUGAUGUGUUCAACCGCUCCAACAUGGACGGGUGUCUGGAGUCGGCUACCGGAGCGGCCCGGCUCCUGGUGGAGAAGCUACGUCAGAAGGAGGCGUAACCACCGACCCAGGAGCCACUAGCAGUACCACAGACGGAGUCGGAGCGAGUUGGCGAGCGGAAAACAGACACCAUAGCGGUUCGAGAUGAAGCGCUCGUACGUCCUCCUUCGUCUGCAGCAUCUUCCACGCGAGUGCGGUCUCAGGGGGAAGCAGGCGGGGAUGUUCGUCACCGCGAUCGCGUUCUUGCUGUAGGAGAUAUCCGCUUAUAACAUCUCACAUUUGUGACAUGUUUGUAUGUGACAUUUCAAUAACACAUAAACAGCGUUGAAUGUUGUGCUUUGACAUAAUCAUUACAGUAACAUUCUCGAUAAAAUAUACACAAGCAGGGUCGGA
rnacentral:misc_RNA from 1 species